GAGGGUAUAGCUCAGUGAUAGAGCAUGUGCUUAGCAUGCAUGAGGUCCUGGGUUCAAUCCCCAGUACCUCCA
rnacentral:tRNA from 1 species